rnacentral:tRNA from 1 species
GUGCUGUUUUCGGCUCGACAGGCGCGGCUUGAAAAUCCGCGUGUCGGUGGUUCAAAUCCGCCUCCGGGCACCA